UGAGGGAGAAGAAAAACAUCGCUAGCAAAAAUGAAUGCUCCCGAUCAUUACGAACGAUUCGUCGUCCCUGAAGGCGUCAAGAAGGUUUCCUACGAGCGGGACACUAAGAUUAUAAAUGCCGCCACCUUAACGGUCGAGAGAGAAGACCACACCAUCGGCAACAUUCUACGCAUGUAAUUGCACAGGGAUGAGAAUAUUCUCUUUGCUGGCUACAAGCUGCCUCACCCCCUUCAGUACAAAA